rnacentral:rRNA from 1 species
ACAAGUAGUCAGAGCCCGUUAAUGGGUGAUGGCGUGCCUUUUGUAGAAUGAACCGGCGAGUUACGAUUUGAUGCAAGGUUAAGCAGUAAAUGUGGAGCCGUAGCGAAAGCGAGUCUGAAUAGGGCGUUUAGUAUUUGGUCGUAGACCCGAAACCAGGUGAUCUACCCUUGGUCAGGUUGAAGUUCAGGUAACACUGAAUGGAGGACCGAACCGACUUACGUUGAAAAGUGAGCGGAUGAACUGAGGGUAGCGGAGAAAUUCCAAUCGAACCUGGAGAUAGCUGGUUCUCUCCGAAAUAGCUUUAGGGCUAGCCUCAAGUGAUGAUUAUUGGAGGUAGAGCACUGUUUGGACGAGGGGCCCCUCUCGGGUUACCGAAUUCAGACAAACUCCGAAUGCCAAUUAAUUUAACUUGGGAGUCAGAACAUGGGUGAUAAGGUCCGUGUUCGAAAGGGAAACAGCCCAGACCACCAGCUAAGGUCCCAAAAUAUAUGUUAAGUGGAAAAGGAUGUGGCGUUGCCCAGACAACUAGGAUGUUGGCUUAGAAGCAGCCAUCAUUUAAAGAGUGCGUAAUAGCUCACUAGUCGAGUGACACUGCGCCGAAAAUGUACCGGGGCUAAACAUAUUACCGAAGCUGUGGAUUGUCCUUUGGACAAU